rnacentral:rRNA from 1 species
AUGUUCAUUUUUGUUUCAAUGCAGGGGCACAACAGGAAACAAGAUCUGGUUGCUUCUACGCAUGUUAUUUAUAUUGCUGUUUGUUCAAUUACUAUUUUUGAAAGAGGAAACAACAUGAAUUCCCACUUCCUUCUAAGCAUGUUAUUUCUAUUACUGUUUGUUCAAUUGCUUUUGAUUUUGAAUGGAAUAAGCAAGGUCCAGUUCGCAAAUAUGCCCCAUAGUAUCAUAUAUCUUGUUCAUACAAAUUAUUGCCACAUGCAAGAUUGCAUCCAGUUUUGUGUUGUAUAUAGUUGCCUUGGAUUUCCAUUCUUAUAA